AAAGAAGAAGACUGCCAAUUUACACACCAUUUUAUACAGUUACAGUAUGAUAUGGUGAACAAAAAGCCCUCAGUGCAGCCAGUUCUGGAGCUUUGGUUAGACUAUGAACAGUAGACAUCAAAAGAUGAUCAUCUGAAGGGCCACAAUUGUUUAAAGCACUGGUCAACA
rnacentral:lncRNA from 1 species